rnacentral:rRNA from 1 species
AUACAUGCAAGUCGAACGGGAUUGAGAAGCUUGCUUUUCAUGAGAGUGGCGCACGGGUGCGUAACACGUAUGUAACCUACCUUAAUCUGGGGGAUAGCCUCUCGAAAGAGAGAUUAACACCGCAUAACAUUAUCGGAUAGCAUUUUCUGAUAAUCAAAUAUUUAUAGGAUUAAGAUGGGCAUGCGGAACAUUAGCUAGUUGGUAAGGUAAUGGCUUACCAAGGCUACGAUGUUUAGGGGAUCUGAGAGGAUGACCCCCCACACUGGUACUGAGACACGGACCGGACUCCUACGGGAGGCAGCAGUAAGGAAUAUUGGUCAAUGGGCGCAAGCCUGAACCAGCCAUGCCGCGUGCAGGAAGACGGCCCUACGGGUUGUAAACUGCUUUUGUACCGGAAUAAACCUUUUCACGUGUGAGAAGCUGAAUGUACGGUAAGAAUAAGGAUCGGCUAACUCCGUGCCAGCAGCCGCGGUAAUACGGAGGAUCCAAGCGUUAUCCGGAUUUAUUGGGUUUAAAGGGCGCGUAGGCGGUUCUUUAAGUCAGGGGUGAAAGACGGUAGCUUAACUAUCGCAGUGCCUUUGAUACUGAAGAACUUGAAUACACUUGAGGUAGGCGGAAUGUGACAAGUAGCGGUGAAAUGCAUAGAUAUGUCACAGAACACCAAUUGCGAAGGCAGCUUACUAAAGUGUCAUUGACGCUGAGGCACGAAAGCGUGGGGAUCAAACAGGAUUAGAUACCCUAGUAGUCCACGCCCUAAACGAUGAAUACUCGAUGUUGGCGAUAUACGGUCAGCGUCUAAGCGAAAGCGUUAAGUAUUCCACCUGGGGAGUACGCCCGCAAGGGUGAAACUCAAAGGAAUUGACGGGGGCCCGCACAAGCGGAGGAGCAUGUGGUUUAAUUCGAUGAUACGCGAGGAACCUUACCCGGGCUUGAAA